CAAUUCCUUAUUUAAUUUUAUCUUUCUUACCAAGCAAACGCAACACGAACCCCUUUUCUUUUCCAUACUUAUUUACAAGGUUCCUGGAAUUCAAAUUCCCCAAGCAAUGAAGAAAUCGGGUCUUUUUGCUGCUUCUGUUGCUGCUGCUUCUGCCACUGCCAUCUCUGCUUCUUCUUCUUCUUCUUCUUCCUCUACUUCUAACACAACCUUUACGUGUAAUUCCAAUUUGCAGCUUUCCCAUGAGGUAAUCUUUUGCUUCCGAGCUUUUAUUUCUUGAAAUAAAUUAUGGGUUUUUUCUUCUUAAUUUUCAAUUUUCUUGUUUUAGAAUUGGGUUUGUUUUCUUUUUCUUUGUUCUUGAUUUGCAUUAUAUAUACCCUGUUUUUCUCUGAUUUGGUCGUUGGAUCUUGGCAAUUGAUGCUUGAGAAUUGGAGAGUACUUAUUUGAUUUAAUCUCUCGAGUUUUGAGCCUUCCUAUUUGUGGGUAUUUCUUGGAUUUAGUUUCUUGAUUGUAUUUACCAUCAAAUUAGUCCCAAAUCUUUGUCAGAUUGAAUUCUAAUCAUGAAUCCUAAAAGUCAAUCUUUUUCUUUCAGGAAGCUAAAGACCAAAAAAGAUCAUAAAGAAAAGAAAGAGCCAUAAAAAUAUGCACCAUAAAGAAAGAUUUGACGUAUAUUUUCUCCUCUUUUCUUUUACUUUGCUUUUCUUUCUCUUAUUGGAUAUGAGUAGCAGAAGAAGUGCCAUGUCUUGGGUCAAGUUCUGUAAUAGUGUUCACUUUUGAAUCUCUUCUUCUUUUAAUAUUAAAGUCCCUGGUUUCUUUUGUUUUUACCAUGUCUUUUCUUGAAUCAUUUAGUUCCCACCUGUCAGUAGAUGGUUGCUUGUCAAAGUGAUAGAUCUUUCUUAAAAGAGGCUAGUCACAGCCAAGUAUUAGUGAUAUAUUUAUGGGAAAAUGUGAUAGACAAUUCUACAGGAUGAGAUCAUUGAAGAUUUUGGGGAGCCUUGCUUAAUUCAAAAUACCCAUUGGAUUAUUUCAAACAUUAUAUAUUAUAGCAAUUUCAAGGUAGGCAUGCUUGGUGAUGUCAUGUGUGUGCCUUGGCAAAUACAGUGUCAUAAGAGAACAGCAAAAACAUGGCCUACUUUCUAAUGGGAAUUUGGGAUAUUCCCAAACUACAAAAUUUCUCUUUGGAUUUAGAGCUCUAGCAAGGGGAAUUUAGAUACCUUUAAACUUGUAAUUAAGCUGGAGGAGGGGAGCAGGUUGUCAAUCCCCUUUGCUGCUUGUGAUAAUUGCAGGGUUACCAAAAAUUAGAUUGGUAUUAUACAAUGUGAGCCAAAUUCUUAAUUUUUGAGUCAUCUGAAAUGUGCCAGCAUUUUAAAGACAUGAGAGUAGCUAAAGAAUGAGGAAGACAAUCCAAGUCUCGGUGAUCCACUGAUUUAUGAGAAGGAAGAUCAUUACUGAAGUGAGAAGAUGACAGAAUCAGAGUCUGUUUAUGAUUUUUCAGGAUUAAAAAAGGGACUGAUUAUCCUGAGGAAAAUGUUCCAGAUGUUGAAUGACAAUCCACCACAUAUAGAGAAGAUAUUUUUGGUUUGUGUAUGAUAUACCAAAAAUACUACUUUUCGGUAUUUGUUGCAAGGUAAAGAUAAUUUUACCCUUGCCAAAAUUUAAUAAUAUUUUUACUUUCAAAAAUUCGAAAUUUCAAUUGAAGAGUUCUAUCAAUUAGAUAGUUUGAAGAUGUUUGUACCAAUAUUAUAUAGUUAAUUUAAUAUUUUUGAUACACCAAAAAAAGUAUUAUUAUUAUUAUUAUUAAAUCAUAAUCUAUGAUAUCUAUUUAAUUGUG
rnacentral:lncRNA from 1 species